UGAUCGAAGGCGAUGAUAUUGCUUGUUGUUUAUCUCAUUAGAAAAAGAAAAAAAAGAAAAAGAAAAAGAACAGAACAGAACUGAACAAACUACCGUUCUUCUGUAUAUCUAUCGAUGGCUGCAGCAAUCCCAGUCUCAGUUUCUCUCAUUCUCUCCUCAGAUUCGCAACCAUCCCAAAGACUGCCCGUAAUUCUUUCAUCUUCAAAUAUACAACACCCUUUCCUUUCUCUCCACAAAUCUUUCAAUUUCAGCUCUAGAUUCCGUGUCUCCUCAAAAUGUUCUCCUUCAUCCUCAACAACGACGACGACGACGACAUUAACAGAAACAGAAACAUCAAGUGCUUCUACCUCCUAUUCAUACCUUGAGGAUUCAUAUAAAACAGGGAGGUUCUUGAGCAAUGAAGAGAUUGAAAAGCUUAACGCGCUUCAAAAUUUCAGAUAUUAUCAACAACUAGAAACUGGGUCUAUUUGUGUUAGGCUGAUGAAGCCAGAAGAAAUGGAUAUAACUGUUAAAUUGCUCGCAGAGUCAUUUGUUGAGUCUAUGUUGUUGCCUGUUGGUUAUGUAUCUUUGUUGAGGUACUUGGUGAAGCAGUACUUGAUAGAAAGGAGAGCUGCAAUGCCGCAUGCCGUUACGCUUAUUGGGUUUUAUAAAGGGAAACAAGAGAUGAAUACUGGAGAAGAAAAGGAGGACCUCUUGGAGUUGGCAGGGACUGUGGAGGUUUGUUUUGACAAAAGGGGUGCUAAUACUUCUCCUCCGACGCCUACCUCUCCAAAGAAUGCUCCUUACAUUUGCAAUAUGGCUGUUAAACAGUCGCUUCGUAGGAGGGGGAUUGGCUGGAAUCUUCUGAAGGCAAGUGAGGAACUUAUUUCUCAGAUGAGUAGUAUGCGAGACGUGUACUUGCACUGCAGAAUGAUUGAUUUGGCCCCCCUCAACAUGUAUACAAAAGCAGGUUACAAUAUUGUUAAAACCGAUAGCAUAAGGGUCCUGUUGAUGUUGCAGAGGCGCAAACAUUUGAUGUGCAAGAAACUUGCAGUCUUAAAAAAUCCUUCUGAUAUUCCAGACUCUGAUACGGAAUUAUCUUCACAAUUGGAUAUGUUGAAGUCAUGACAUAUGCUUCUGAGGUCCUUCAGGGUAUAGUCUGGCCAGCUUGUGAUGAUUAUCCAAUUUGGUUGGUUUUGGCCAGGAAUUCAAUUCGUUGGUAUGGCAUCUCCUUGUAAUUUAUCAUAUUUAUGGGGAAACCUAUAGUGCUACAGAUUCCCGUUUUGCAGAUAUUCAUACACCAGAAACCUGUGCUUCCCAUCAGCACAAUAUCCAAUCAAGGAGACCAGAUUUGGGUGCUCAAGCCUGCUCAAGAUGUCAACUUCUACACGAAACUCCCUUUCCCCUUCAGCUUCUUUGAAUGUUGGCAGAUCCAUUUUCUUGAUUGCUACAACCUUCAGAUUACAGAAGAGAAGCAAGUUUGUAUGUUUCUCUAAAACUGGAUUUAACCUUUCUUUGUAGGGACUAAAUUUGCUGAAGGUUUCCGAGAGCUGGGAACUAAAACUGCAUGCGUCAGCUAUGUAUCUAUUUGGGAAGUUCAGAAUUUUAGCCUAAUUGUCAUAACAGACUUUUAUUUGAACGAUCA